rnacentral:pre_miRNA from 1 species
UUGCAUUCUGAAUGUCUUUGGUUGGUGCAAAAAAUAAUCGCAGUUUUUGCAAUUUUUUUUUUAAUUGCGAGACUGCAGUUACUUUUGCACCAACCUAAUAUUUUGAAAGUAG